AAAUUGAAGAGUUUGAUCAUGGCUCAGAUUGAACGCUGGCGGCAGGCCUAACACAUGCAAGUCGAACGGUAGCACAGAGAGCUUGCUCUCGGGUGACGAGUGGCGGACGGGUGAGUAAUGUCUGGGAAACUGCCUGAUGGAGGGGGAUAACUACUGGAAACGGUAGCUAAUACCGCAUAACGUCGCAAGACCAAAGAGGGGGACCUUCGGGCCUCUUGCCAUCAGAUGUGCCCAGAUGGGAUUAGCUAGUAGGUGGGGUAACGGCUCACCUAGGCGACGAUCCCUAGCUGGUCUGAGAGGAUGACCAGCCACACUGGAACUGAGACACGGUCCAGACUCCUACGGGAGGCAGCAGUGGGGAAUAUUGCACAAUGGGCGCAAGCCUGAUGCAGCCAUGCCGCGUGUAUGAAGAAGGCCUUCGGGUUGUAAAGUACUUUCAGCGGGGAGGAAGGUGUUGAGGUUAAUAACCUCAGCAAUUGACGUUACCCGCAGAAGAAGCACCGGCUAACUCCGUGCCAGCAGCCGCGGUAAUACGGAGGGUGCAAGCGUUAAUCGGAAUUACUGGGCGUAAAGCGCACGCAGGCGGUCUGUCAAGUCGGAUGUGAAAUCCCCGGGCUCAACCUGGGAACUGCAUUCGAAACUGGCAGGCUAGAGUCUUGUAGAGGGGGGUAGAAUUCCAGGUGUAGCGGUGAAAUGCGUAGAGAUCUGGAGGAAUACCGGUGGCGAAGGCGGCCCCCUGGACAAAGACUGACGCUCAGGUGCGAAAGCGUGGGGAGCAAACAGGAUUAGAUACCCUGGUAGUCCACGCCGUAAACGAUGUCGACUUGGAGGUUGUGCCCUUGAGGCGUGGCUUCCGGAGCUAACGCGUUAAGUCGACCGCCUGGGGAGUACGGCCGCAAGGUUAAAACUCAAAUGAAUUGACGGGGGCCCGCACAAGCGGUGGAGCAUGUGGUUUAAUUCGAUGCAACGCGAAGAACCUUACCUACUCUUGACAUCCAGAGAACUUUCCAGAGAUGGAUUGGUGCCUUCGGGAACUCUGAGACAGGUGCUGCAUGGCUGUCGUCAGCUCGUGUUGUGAAAUGUUGGGUUAAGUCCCGCAACGAGCGCAACCCUUAUCCUUUGUUGCCAGCGGUCCGGCCGGGAACUCAAAGGAGACUGCCAGUGAUAAACUGGAGGAAGGUGGGGAUGACGUCAAGUCAUCAUGGCCCUUACGAGUAGGGCUACACACGUGCUACAAUGGCGCAUACAAAGAGAAGCGACCUCGCGAGAGCAAGCGGACCUCAUAAAGUGCGUCGUAGUCCGGAUUGGAGUCUGCAACUCGACUCCAUGAAGUCGGAAUCGCUAGUAAUCGUAGAUCAGAAUGCUACGGUGAAUACGUUCCCGGGCCUUGUACACACCGCCCGUCACACCAUGGGAGUGGGUUGCAAAAGAAGUAGGUAGCUUAACCUUCGGGAGGGCGCUUACCACUUUGUGAUUCAUGACUGGGGUGAAGUCGUAACAAGGUAACCGUAGGGGAACCUGCGGUUGGAUCACCUCCUUACCUUAAAGAA
rnacentral:rRNA from 1 species